rnacentral:rRNA from 1 species
AGCAGCCGCGGUAAUUCCAGCUCCAAUAGCGUAUAUUAAAGUUGUUGCAGUUAAAAAGCUCGUAGUUGAAUUUCGGGAUCAGUAGGUCGGUCGUGCCACUGGUACGAACUGGUCUCACUGGUUCCUCCCUCUUGACGAACUGCAAUGCUAUUAAUUUAGUGUAGUAGGAAAUCAGGACUGUUACUUUGAAAAAAUUAGAGUGUUUAAAGCAGGCUUUGGCUUGAAUACAUUAGCAUGGAAUAAUGAAAUAGGACGUUCGAUCCUAUUUUGUUGGCUUCUAGGAUUGACGUAAUGAUUAAUAGGGACAGUUGGGGGCAUUAGUAUUCAAUUGUCAGAGGUGAAAUUCUUGGAUUUAUUGAAGACUAACUACUGCGAAAGCAUUUGCCAAGGAUGUUUUCAUUAAUCAAGAACGAAAGUUAGGGGAUCGAAGACGGUCAGAUACCGUCGUAGUCUUAACCAUAAACUAUGCCGACUAGGGAUCGGAUGAUGUUAAUUUUUAAUGACUCAUUCGGCGCCUUAA